ensembl:miRNA mir-240 ncRNA
CGAGGAUUUUGAGACUAGAAUGC